rnacentral:rRNA from 1 species
AUUGAACGCUGGCGGCAGGCUUAACACAUGCAAGUCGAGCGGUAGCACAGGGGAGCUUGCUCCCUGGGUGACGAGCGGCGGACGGGUGAGUAAUGUCUGGGAAACUGCCUGAUGGAGGGGGAUAACUACUGGAAACGGUAGCUAAUACCGCAUAACGUCGCAAGACCAAAGAGGGGGACCUUCGGGCCUCUUGCCAUCAGAUGUGCCCAGAUGGGAUUAGCUAGUAGGUGGGGUAAUGGCUCACCUAGGCGACGAUCCCUAGCUGGUAUGAGAGGAUGACCAGCCACACUGGAACUGGAACACGGUCAAGACUCCUACGGGAGGCAGCAGUGGGGAAUAUUGCACAAUGGGCGCAAGCCUGAUGCAGCCAUGCCGCGUGUGUGAAGACGGCCUUCGGGUUGUAAAGCACUUUCAGCGAGGAGGAAGGUGGUGAGCUUAAUACGUUCAUCAAUUGACGUUACUCGCAGAAGAAGCACCGGCUAACUCCGUG